rnacentral:rRNA from 1 species
AGUGAACGCUGGCGGUAGGCCUAACACAUGCAAGUCGAACGGCAGCACAGUAAGAGCUUGCUCUUACGGGUGGCGAGUGGCGGACGGGUGAGGAAUACAUCGGAAUCUACUUUUUCGUGGGGGAUAACGUAGGGAAACUUACGCUAAUACCGCAUAUGACCUACGGGUGAGAGCAGGGGAUCUUCGGACCUUGCGCGAUUGAAUGAGCCGAUGUCGGAUUAGCUAGUUGGCGGGGUAAAGGCCCACCAAGGCGACGAUCCGUAGCUGGUCUGAGAGGAUGAUCAGCCACACUGGAACUGAGACACGGUCCAGACUCCUACGGGAGGCAGCAGUGGGGAAUAUUGGACAAUGGGCGCAAGCCUGAUCCAGCCAUACCGCGUGGGUGAAGAAGGCCUUCGGGUUGUAAAGCCCUUUUGUUGGGAAAGAAAAGCAGCAGGUUAAUACCCCGCUGUUCUGACGGUACCCAAAGAAUAAGCACCGGCUAACUUCGUG